AAAAAAAAAACUCUAGAAAGGAAGUUACUGGGUCUAAUGACUAAAAUGAAGGGCAUAAUGGAGUAUGUUUUGGAAACCCUAUUCCAUAAAGCAUGGAACAUGUUGAAGGAGGAUCUAAUCUUCAGGAGGAAGAAGAGAUUUGCACUCCAAAUUCUAAAUGCACAGAAGCUGGAUGUAUCUUUGUUGCUAAGCAGAACUAAGAGCAAGGAUUGAAGGAGUGAAUUUUGCUUCCAAGAAUAGUAGAGAGCCUGAGGCACAGCUUGAAGGUUCCCUAGAGGACACUGAUGCAAUUUAUGUCAAACCAGAUGAGAGGUACUAACCUCCAUAUAGGAGGAAGGAGCAGGUGACACACCAUUCUAAGUCGUUAUUUCAAUCUAGUCGUCCCGCUAGCAGGCUUCAGGGUCUUCCUUAGGUCUAUAUUCACACAAAUCUUGCAAUCCACCUUGCAAUAUAUGAAUUAAAAAUUGUCCAAAUACACCAAGUGCCCCGAGUGAUUGUUGGCUUCAAAGGCAGCCAUGGUCCAAGGGAACUGUUCUCCCUUUGGUUCUUUAUAUAUCGCUAGCAGGUUCCCAUUGCUUGAGUUGCAGGUAAGCUUGUUCCUCCUGUUUCUUAAAUUACUUUGGAAGCCUAAAGGGAUGCUGUACAGAAGCUUUAUGGGCUUGGCGAGAGACAAAUGGGUCACCUAGAAUUUUAUAAGUCGUAUUAUGAAGCGAUUGAUAGAGAUAAUAUUUACCCUAAAGGAUACAAAAUUCCUGAGUUUACUUUAUUUUCUAGGGAGGAUGGACAGUCUACUAUAGAACACAUUGCAUGUUUCAUCAUACAAUGUGGGGAAUUGGCGAACUCGAACAAAUUUUCCUUAUUAUAAGUUUGUUAUUGAGUUUUCCUGGUGCAGACUUAUAUCUAGCUUGUUUGGGUUAUUUGGAGUUGAAUGUGAGUUUGAAUCGAAUUUAAA